rnacentral:lncRNA from 1 species
UUUUUUUUUUUUUUUUUUUUUUUUUUUUUGGUUUUUUUUGUCUUUUCUAGGGCUGCACCAGCGGCAUAUGGAGCAGCCCAAGAAAUGGCAAAAAGACAAAAAAAAAAAAAAAAAAAGAAUGGCUAAAGUCCAGAACACAGCCAAUACCAAAUGCUGCCCAGGAUGUGGAGCAACAGAAACCCUGGUGCAUUGCUGGUGGGAAUGCAAAAUAGUACAGCAACUCUUGAAGACAGCUUUGCCUGCUUCUCACAAACCUAAACUUCUCUUACCAUACAAUCCAGCAGUCACACUCCUUGGUAUUUUCACAAACGAGUUGAAAAAUUAUGUCUACACAAACACCUGCACAAACACCUGCAUGUCCCCACAAACUAAAGCUGCAUAUUUGUGGCAGCUUUAGUCAUAACUGCCAAAAGCUAGAAGUCACCAAGCUGCCCUUCGGAAGGUGAGUGGAUAAAUAAGGUAUGGUAUAUCCAGACAAUGGAAUAUUAUUCAGCACCAAAAAAAAAAAAUGAGCUAUCUAGCCCAGAAAAGACAUGGAAGGGAGUUCCCACUGUGGCUCAACAGGUUAAGAACCCCACAAAGUGUCCAUGAGGAUGCAGGUUCGAUCCCUGGUCUCGCUCAGUGGGUUAAGGAUCCGGUGUUGCUGCAAGCUAUGGUGUAGGUCACAGAUGCGGUUGGGAUCCGGCAUUGCUGUGGCCAUGGGGUAGGUCUGCAGUUGCAGCUGCAAUUUGACCCCUAGCCUGGAAACGUCCAUGGGCCACAAGUGUGGCCCUAAAAAAAAAAAAAAAAAAAAAAAAAAAAAAAAAAAAAAAAAAAGAUCAGCAGUUGCCAGGGGCUAGGGAUGGGAGAGGGGGAGGGGAAGGCGAUAAAUAGGCAGAGUCCAGAAGAAUUUUAGGGCCGUGAAACUAUCCCGCAUGAUACUACAAUGUAUCUCAUGGUUGAUCCAUGUGAUUAUACAUUUGCCGGUAGAAUGUACAACACUGAGAAGGAACUGUAUUGCGGACCUUCGGUGCUUAAAAAAGAAAACCAUCCUAGAGCCCAAGUACUGCAUCACCUUAGAACAGUGUACUCCAUCUCUCCAAACAUCCAUGUUCCUAUUCAUAUAACAGCAAUAAACGACCUAAGUCAAGGCGCUCUGAGUUUAAACGAGGUCACACAUUUGAAAGCCUCUAGCUCAGGAGAGGCGAUCAAGAAGUCCGUGUUACAGAUACUGACUCACAGACUUCGAAAAACUUAUGGUUUCCAAAAGAGACAGUUUGCGGGGUGGGGUGGGGGGAUGUGCUGGGGUCGUGGGAUGGAAAUCCUAUAAAAUUGGAUUAAAUUCAUUGAGUAAGAAAAAUAAAAUAAAACAAAAUAAUAAAAUAAAAUAAAAUAAAAACAAGUUAGUGUUAGACCCUGGACAGAAAUGCAUCCACAGUCCCACGUGGCCUCAGCUUGGGGGCGGGGCAUCUGUUUCCGGAAGCACAGCCUGGACUAGGGGUGGAGCCUGGAGGCAGGCACAGAGCCAGCGGCUGACAGGAGGAAGCCUGUGCUGUUUACAUUCCUAAUUACAGGAACCAAGGCUUCAGCACAGCCAGGUGUCAUUCCAACAGACAAGGUUAAUAGGAUGUGAACGGGCCCAGCUGCCACCGCUCUGCUCACGGAACGACAGGCGUGGAGGGGACGUCAGAUGCAGGAGCCGGCAGCCUGGCCGGGCUGGUCCGCUUCAGCUGCUCGGAGGCACAGGUUAAAAUUCC